UACAGAGGUCUCAAGCGUUGUUCGGAUUCAUUGGGCGUAAAGGGUGCGUAGGCGGCGCGGUAAGUCGGGUGUGAAAUCUUGGAGCUUAACUCCGAAACUGCAUUCGAUACUGCCGUGCUUGAGGACUGGAGAGGAGACUGGAAUUUACGGUGUAGCGGUGAAAUGCGUAGAUAUCGUAAGGAAGACCAGUGGCGAAGGCGGGUCUCUGGACAGUUCCUGACGCUGAUGCACGAAAGCGUGGGGAGCAAACAGG
rnacentral:rRNA from 1 species